GUCGUUUGUGCGUAGGUCCCAGCGAUGUGGCGGGGAUAGGACUCGCGGGCUGGUGGCUGGGAUCUCAGGGAGCUGAGUGGCCGCCCUGGGACGAGGCGGGGGUCUCACAGGGGUUUUAGCUGCCGCUUCCGUCAGAGACCGCUCGGUUUGCGUUCUCUCACCGGGCGCGCGGAGGGCAAAUCGAUUCCCCUUAAAAUUUAGGAGCAAACGUGAGAUUUGCUUCCCGGGCAUCUUGCUGGCGCUGGAAAGCGGUUCUGGAACGCUCUCCCGCAUACGUCAUGAUUGCGCUCGCGGCGCGCAGUCCCACCCGCACGGAAUGCGGGGUUUUUUGUUGUUUUGUUUUGUUUUUAACUCUCAAUCAAACAGCCGUCUUGGAAGCUGUUUAUCGCUCCAGAAACAGUGGCCUGCAGGGGCAAAACUGAGCUUGCCUGACAGACAUGCUCCGAGAUGUUGGCUGAAAAAAAUGUUUUUGAUCCUAUCAGCUCAUUUGCCUUUUUAGGCAACUUCUGUUUGGGUGUGCAUCCGGUUUUCAGGCGUCUCUGACGUCCACCCCCCAAAAAAGAGAAAAACUCAUCUUUGUAGCAAAAGUGGCCGUCGCUCAGGACUCGCCCUCUCUGCCGGGGACACGGCUGUAAAGAAUUAAAGAACAUGUUCCCUGCAUGGGUUAGAGAGGGGAACACGGAGAAGCCAUGGCUGCCUUGGUUGGGCGGGAGGCGACGUCCUGGUUGGUUUUAUCUGAGCUGCGUAGGUGCUAGUGCGGUGGAUUGUGGCUUAUCCGAAGGUGAACGCUGGCGCUGCCUCGGCGUGGGCGUUGCCAUGGCUACAGGGAGAGGUGGUUGGUGAAUUGCGGGCUCGUAAACCCAGCAAGGCCCGGCCUCUCGGGUUUACGAAGCUUUAGGAGUAAUUGACUACCCUGGUUUAUGCAUCCGGGGGCUUUCCCCAUUCCCAGCCCCGGCCAAGAUUCCUGGAUUGAUCAAUACAGGCACCCAUGGGCGUGUCGAUGCCAUCGCAUAUUGACUAAUGCAGGCGCAUUCAUUGCCUUGGGUGCUGGGUGUGAGAGCACAAUCUUCGCACCACUUGCCUUCUUUUUUGGUUUGUAAAUUGUUGCUCCUCUUACCUGAUCUCACCAAUUACGAAUAUUUUAAUUACUGUCUUUUAUGCCUUUUCCCGUAGGUAAUAACCCAUCACUGGCACCCUAAAAGGAACACUUCAUUCUAUUGUGUGUCAGUACCCUGUCCGUGGACAUUGCAAAAGAAAGGAAACUGCAGUUUUGCAUAAUCUCCAUAUAGCAACAGCCGCCCGUGCUUCUGUGGAACACACGGUGUUCUUUGGCAGCCGCGGUGCUGGGAGCCGGCACUUUGCUUGCUGUGCGCAGUAGACAGAGCAGGGGAUCGCGUUUUCCCAGAGCCUGGGUUUCUUCGGUCGCACAGCCUGCUGGUGAAGGCUGCAUGAGAUGGCAUUUCUGAGCCACGCUAGCACUGAGCUACCUUCAAGCCUUUCCUGAAAGCAUAGGCACCCAAGGCUGCUCGAAGGUCAAGGACUUGGCUGCUGGCUGCAUCAUAAGACCUCUGAAUCUCCGGCCUUUUCCUCCCAUUCUUUGCCAGUGCUCACUACAUUUACAAGGGAGUCUGGAGGGCAGGAAUCCCCACGCCCACAGCUGGGCAACAAGGUCAAGGGUGUCAAAAUCCAGGCCCAGAAAAGCAGCAAAACCAGGUGGGCA